UUAUGAGUGAGGUUAAUUUUUUUCUCUUUGGGAGAAAUGGAGCAUGAUGAUUUGGGGGUAAUGAGGCUGUGAUUAUACUUUUCUGGUUUGUGAGUACAACAGUCUGUACAUUAACCAUAUCUGAU